GGUAUCCCAUGGCAACGACGGCAACCCUAAAGAGCCAAGGUUCAGAGAAAGCGAAUGAGUCCGUUUCUUUCUUUUGUUUUGUUUUUCUUUUUCAUCUCAUUUCUUUUCCUUUAUUUUCUCUCUUUUUUCUUCUUCCCUUUUCUUUUUCUUCUUUUUUCUUUUUCUUUCUUUAUAUUCUUUUUCCUUUUGUGCUAAGAAUUAUUAAAGCUUUGAGCAUCACUAAGCUACACACCCAGUCAACACCUGCUCAAAUUUAAUCUCCCUAAUGUUAAGUCUUGAGUCCAAGACUCUCCCUGCUGUAGUAUCAACUGUGGUCUUCCAUUCCAGGCAAGUUCUUUUUUAAUCAGCCUGACUCAGCUGGGCCUUGUGGACAAAACAGUGGUGGUAAAAACGAUCAUAACCUCAGCCUCUGCAGUGCACCUAAAAGGGAGCAUCUUCUCCUCUCCAUAACCCCCUCUGUUUCUCCGAAGAUGGAGGCUGCUCUUCCUGUGCUGAGGACUUGAAGCUGAUGUGAAUAGUGCGUCUAGCACACCUGAUCUAUAGGAAGAGUUCCCGACUGGAAGACACGAGCACACACGAGCCCUCUUGCCAUCUGGCAUUCUGCCACUGGCUGGCACAGUACAGAAGCCCUCCCCAGAUGCCAGCACCUUGAGAGUGGACACCCAACCUCAGGAACUGUGAGGAGGAAAUGACUUUUCUUCGCUAACUACUCUACCUGUAGUCAUCUCUCAUGGUGGCACUAAAUAAAGACAUAUUCUCCAACUGUCAAGAUAACCUGAUCUACCAGAUAGAAAGUCUACCGGGAAAGAAUGAGAAAGAUGACGGACAAGGACCAUCACUGGCAUCACUUCAUACUUCUCAUUAGAGAAGAGCUUUGGGCAUUUUAGCCUGGUGAGCACAAAUCUGCCGGAGAGAGAUGGGUCCAUUCUAGACGUGCCAACAUAACAAACUUCCAACCAUGCUAGAUCACAAGUUCGACCCAGGAAAAGAAAGCCCAUGUCAAUGGUGGGCCAGAGAAGGAUACAAACUCCUUGCUGUUUCGUCCCCAGUGUGCUAUCAUUUUUUGAAAAUGGCACGUGGUAUUGUUAUAAGCAUUAAAAAAGGCUGCAUGUGUAACGUGUAAA